rnacentral:rRNA from 1 species
GGGGGGGGGGGGGGGGGGGGAGGGGGAGGGGGGAAGGGGGAAGGGGCGGGGGGGGGGGGGGGUGGCUGGGGAGGGGGGGGGGGGGGAGGCGCGGGGGGGGGGCUGGCGGGGGACGGGGGGGGGGCACCGGGGCUGGGGGGGUGGCCGGGGGGGCCGCUUAAUUUGGUGAAUUCAACCGGCCCCCUUUACCCCUUUUGUCUUGUAUGUUCCUGGUUUGCGUUCGCCAACCCCCCCCCCCCCGGCCCGGCUACGGAAGAAUGAAAGGCUUUUUUUGGAAAUUGGACGGGGAUACACGUUGUCCCCCUCUUUGAGGGGGGAUAAUAUGGAACCAUCCCUUACCCGCCAAACAAUUGCUCACCUUUUUUUUUAUGGAAGGGCCAUUCCUCCCAUCAAGAGGGCCCUUGGUUUAUUAGGUGAGAGGGGAGGACCGCCUCCCCUGGGGGACAAAACUAACCCCCCUGGAGUGUUAUCCGCCCACUGGGGAUGGAACCCCGCCCAGCUUCCUAGGGGAGGCAGCAGUAGGUAUCUUCGGCAAGGGGGCCACCCUGACCGAACAACGCCGCGUGAUGAAGAAGUUUUCGGAUCGUAAAGCUCUGUUGAAGUCAAGAACGAGUGUGAGAGUGAAAGUUCACACUGUGACGGUAGCUUACCAGAAAGGGACGGCUAACUACGUGCCAGCAGCCGCGGUAAUACGUAGGUCCCGAGCGUUGUCCGGAUUUAUUGGGCGUAAAGCGAGCGCAGGCGGUUUGAUAAGUCUGAAGUUAAAGGCUGUGGCUCAACCAUAGUUCGCUUUGGAAACUGUCAAACUUGAGUGCAGAAGGGGAGAGUGGAAUUCCAUGUGUAGCGGUGAAAUGCGUAGAUAUAUGGAGGAACACCGGUGGCGAAAGCGGCUCUCUGGUCUGUAACUGACGCUGAGGCUCGAAAGCGUGGGGAGCGAACAGGAUUAGAUACCCUGGUAGUCCACGCCGUAAACGAUGAGUGCUAGGUGUUGGAUCCUUUCCGGGAUUCAGUGCCGCAGCUAACGCAUUAAGCACUCCGCCUGGGGAGUACGACCGCAAGGUUGAAACUCAAAGGAAUUGACGGGGGCCCGCACAAGCGGUGGAGCAUGUGGUUUAAUUCGAAGCAACGCGAAGAACCUUACCAGGUCUUGACAUCCCGAUGCUAUUUCUAGAGAUAGAAAGUUACUUCGGUACAUCGGUGACAGGUGGUGCAUGGUUGUCGUCAGCUCGUGUCGUGAGAUGUUGGGUUAAGUCCCGCAACGAGCGCAACCCCUAUUGUUAGUUGCCAUCAUUCAGUUGGGCACUCUAGCGAGACUGCCGGUAAUAAACCGGAGGAAGGUGGGGAUGACGUCAAAUCAUCAUGCCCCUUAUGACCUGGGCUACACACGUGCUACAAUGGUUGGUACAACGAGUUGCGAGUCGGUGACGGCAAGCUAAUCUCUUAAAGCCAAUCUCAGUUCGGAUUGUAGGCUGCAACUCGCCUACAUGAAGUCGGAAUCGCUAGUAAUCGCGGAUCAGCACGCCGCGGUGAAUACGUUCCCGGGCCUUGUACACACCGCCCGUCACACCACGAGAGUUUGUAACACCCGAAGUCGGUGAGGUAACCUUUUGGAGCCAGCCGCCUAAGGUGGGAUAGAUGAUUGGGGUGAAGUCGUACCAAGGUUGCCAUGGG